AACCUCCGCAAUGUGAGAAAUCGCGACGGGGGGAUCCCAAGUGCCAUUCUUAACGGGAUGGCUUUUCAUUAGUGUAAAAAGCUUUUGGAAUAAGAGCUGGGCAAGACCGGUGCCAGCCGCCGCGGUAACACCGGCAGCUCUAGUGGUAGCAAUUUUUAUUGGGCCUAAAGCGUCCGUAGCCGGUUUAAUAAGUCUCUGGUGAAAUCCUGUAGCUUAACUGUGGGAAUUGCUGGAGAUACUAUUAGACUUGAGACCGGGAGAGGUUAGAGGUACUCCCAGGGUAGAGGUGAAAUUCUGUAAUCCUGGGAGGACCGCCUGUUGCGAAGGCGUCUAACUGGAACGGUUCUGACGGUGAGGGACGAAAGUUAGGGGCGCGAACCGGAUUAGAUACCCGGGUAGUCCUAACUGUAAACGAUGCGGACUUGGUGUUGGGGUGGCUUUGAGCUGCUCCAGUGCCGAAGGGAAGCUGUUAAGUCCGCCGCCUGGAAGGUACGGUCGCAAGACUGAAACUUAAAGGAAUU
rnacentral:rRNA from 1 species